rnacentral:rRNA from 1 species
CAGCUAGUUGGUAAGGUAACGGCUUACCAAGGCUACGAUGGGUAGGGGUCCUGAGAGGGAGAUCCCCCACACUGGUACUGAGACACGGACCAGACUCCUACGGGAGGCAGCAGUGAGGAAUAUUGGACAAUGGGCGCAAGCCUGAUCCAGCCAUGCCGCGUGCAGGAUGACGGUCCUAUGGAUUGUAAACUGCUUUUGCACAGGAAGAAACAACUCUACGUGUAGAGUCUUGACGGUACUGUGAGAAUAAGGAUCGGCUAACUCCGUGCCAGCAGCCGCGGUAAUACGGAGGAUCCAAGCGUUAUCCGGAAUCAUUGGGUUUAAAGGGUCCGUAGGCGGUUUAGUAAGUCAGUGGUGAAAGCCCAUCGCUCAACGGUGGAACGGCCAUUGAUACUGCUAGACUUGAAUUAUUAGGAAGUAACUAGAAUAUGUAGUGUAGCGGUGAAAUGCUUAGAGAUUACAUGGAAUACCAAUUGCGAAGGCAGGUUACUACUAAUGGAUUGACGCUGAUGGACGAAAGCGUGGGUAGCGAACAGGAUUAGAUACCCUGGUAGUCCAC